UACGUAGGGUGCGAGCGUUAAUCGGAAUUACUGGGCGUAAAGCGUGCGCAGGCGGAUAUAUAAGUUAGAUGUGAAAUCCCUGAGCUUAACUUGGGAAUGGCAUUUAAGACUGUAUGUCUAGAGUUUGUCAGAGGGAGGUAGAAUUCCAAGUGUAGCAGUGAAAUGCGUAGAUAUUUGGAGGAAUACCAGUGGCGUAGGCGGCCUCCUGGGAUAAAACUGACGCUCAGGCACGAAAGCGUGGGUAGCAAACAGG
rnacentral:rRNA from 1 species